rnacentral:rRNA from 1 species
CGUCAAAUCAUCAUGCCCUUUAUGUCCUGGGCUACACACGUACUACGAAUGGCCGUUACAACGGGAAGCGAAGGAGCAAUCCGGAGCAAAUCCCUUAAAAGGCGGGUCCCAGUUCAGAUUGUGGGCUGAAACUCGCCCACAUGAAGGCGGAAUUGCUAGUAAUUGCAGAUCAGCAUGCUGCAGUGAAUACGUUCCCGGGCCUU